rnacentral:rRNA from 1 species
AGUGAACGCUGGCGGUAGGCCUAACACAUGCAAGUCGAACGGCAGCACAGUAAGAGCUUGCUCUUACGGGUGGCGAGUGGCGGACGGGUGAGGAAUACAUCGGAAUCUACUUUUUCGUGGGGGAUGACGUAGGGAAACUUACGCUAAUACCGCAUACGACCUACGGGUGAAAGCAGGGGAUCUUCGGACCUUGCGCGAUUGAAUGAGCCGAUGUCGGAUUAGCUAGUUGGCGGGGUAAAGGCCCACCAAGGCGACGAUCCGUAGCUGGUCUGAGAGGAUGAUCAGCCACACUGGAACUGAGACACGGUCCAGACUCCUACGGGAGGGAGCAGUGGGGAAUAUUGGACAAUGGGCGCAAGCCUGAUCCAGCCAUACCGCGUGGGUGAAGAAGGCCUUCGGGUUGUAAAGCCCUUUUGUUGGGAAAGAAAAGCAGCAGGUUAAUACCCCGCUGUUCUGACGGUACCCAAAGAAUAAGCACCGGCUAACUUCGUG